AGUGAACGCUGGCGGUAGGCCUAACACAUGCAAGUCGAACGGCAGCACAGUAAGAGCUUGCUCUUACGGGUGGCGAGUGGCGGACGGGUGAGGAAUACAUCGGAAUCUACUUUUUCGUGGGGGAUAACGUAGGGAAACUUACGCUAAUACCGCAUACGACCUACGGGUGAAAGCAGGGGAUCUUCGGACCUUGCGCGAUUGAAUGAGCCGAUGUCGGAUUAGCUAGUUGGCGGGGUAAAGGCCCACCAAGGCGACGAUCCGUAGCUGGUCUGAGAGGAUGAUCAGCAACACUGGAACUGAGACACGGUCCAGACUCCUACGGGAGACAGCAGUGGGGAAUAUUGGACAAUGGGCGCAAGCCUGAUCCAGCCAUACCGCGUGGGUGAAGAAGGCCUUCGGGUUGUAAAGCCCUUUUGUUGGGAAAGAAAAGCAGCAGGUUAAUACCCCGCUGUUCUGACGGUACCCAAAGAAUAAGCACCGGCUAACUUCGUG
rnacentral:rRNA from 1 species